GUGACAGCAGCCGCGGUAAUACGUAGGUCGCAAGCGUUAUCCGGAAUUAUUGGGCGUAAAGCGUCCGUAUGUGGUUUUGCCAGUCCGUGGUUAAAUCCCAGAGCUCAACUCUGGCNNUCGUCAUGGAAACUACAAAACUUGAGUAGUGCAGGGGCAGAUGGAAUUUCCGAAGUAGGGGUAAAAUCCGUAGAUCUCGGAAGGAACACCAAACGCGAAGGCAUUCUGCUGGGCACUUACUGACACUGAGGGACGAAAGCGNGGGGAGCAAAC
rnacentral:rRNA from 1 species